rnacentral:rRNA from 1 species
GAUGAACGCUGGCGGCGUGCCUAAUACAUGCAAGUCGAGCGAACAGACGAGGAGCUUGCUCCUCUGACGUUAGCGGCGGACGGGUGAGUAACACGUGGAUAACCUACCUAUAAGACUGGGAUAACUUCGGGAAACAGGAGCUAAUACCGGAUAAUAUAUUGAACCGCAUGGUUCAAUAGUGAAAGACGGUUUUGCUGUCACUUAUAGAUGGAUCCGCGCCGCAUUAGCUAGUUGGUAAGGUAACGGCUUACCAAGGCGACGAUGCGUAGCCGACCUGAGAGGGUGGUCGGCCACACUGGAACUGAGACACGGUCCAGACUCCUACGGGAGGCAGCAGGAGGGAAGCUUCCGCAAUGGGCGGAAGCCUGACGGAGCAACGCCGCGUGAGUGAUGAAGGUCUUCGGAUCGUAAAACUCUGUUAUUAGGGAAGAACAAAUGUGUAAGUAACUAUGCACGUCUUGACGGUAGCUAAUCAGAAAGCCACGGCUAACUACGUG